rnacentral:misc_RNA from 1 species
GAGUUCCUCCUACGCCUAUUCAUUAUAGAUGCCAAGUCUGGAUCAAGUUGUGUAUCGGCUUCACGUGUAUGAUCAUCCUCAUCUUCUUCAAAUUCGAGAUGCCCAAGUCUAGAACGACGACGAGAGUUGCUCAUCAUGCCUAACAAGAUAGGUGCCCAAAGUGAGAGAGCAUGAUCAGGAUCAGAAUCAGAAUCUAAAAGGGUCUGAUUAUCGUCUGAACCCAUUUCUUCAAUAAAUCCUAGUUGACAAAUG